AUGGCGUCCCUCGCCGUGACCCUAAAAAAACGCUUGGACGCCUAAGCGACGCCUUGACAACUAUGGGAGGGAGGCAAUCUUGGAGGAGACAUCAAAGUAGAUGGCAUUCCAAAUCUUAUCAAAAGAUCGAGAAUUGGAGGUCCAUCUACGAAGGCUUCUCUCCAUCCAAAUGUGGUUAAUGGUGGCAUAGAAGGCAAGCUUUCCAAUGGUGUCGCAGAUGGAAGAACUAGCAUAAGACAUAUCAACCCAGAUCCAUUCUCUACUUAGGGAGGAACACUUCUUCUUCUCAAUGGGCAGCAAUAACUAAGGACCUUCUUCCUGACUGAGGAGAAAAAAGGGUAGGAAAAAAAAAAAAAAGAUGGUAAACAUCUUCGGUGCCAUUCCAGCAAAGACAACAUGAAAAGGUGACAUGGAUGUGUCUAUGGAUAAGAGAAGGCUGGGUUGGCGGGCAGUUUGAGAUAGCCCACCAGGUACUUCCUCCUUACAACUGCUCCUUCUCAUUCAGUUUUCUUGUAUAUAUAGUCCUCUAUUCCUUGAUUUCUAAUUUUUUUUUCUUCAAGAUGUCCUCUGACAGAGCAAUCAUUUUCUGAUUAUUAUUAUUAUUAUUAUUAUUAUUUUUUAAUUCCAGUUUUGGAAUUGUCAGCUCUAGGAAAUCCUCUUGAACUUUCUUAAUUCCCUUCCACUCAUAUAUGCCAUAGCAAGUCGUGACUUUCUCGGUCGCAAUAGACAUAAUGGUGCUUCCUCUUGCCUCACUUUGCCAAAGUCACUGGAGUUUUUCUAGUCUCUUUGAUACAAUCCAAUCCUAAUGAACCCCUACUCAGGGCCUCAUGAGGAGGAAGUGAGUGCAACUACUCACCUUCUCCUUGCUUUCCUUAUCUGCUUUGCCUUAGUGACCCUAUGAUGGGUUCUAUUGAGAUUAGCUGACUGAGUUUCUUGCGUACUAGUGUGAUCCAAAAACUCAGCAGUUUUUAUCCAGGUCAUUGUAAACUUCAAUUUAAUGGCUGGUAGCUCAAUAAUGAAGUUAUGGCUUGUAAGGAUCUGCUCUUUUGUGGUGUUGAUUUGUACUGGUUUUUCUGUUGAUUGAGUUGCAAAUUUGUGGCAAGUGCUGUUAACUCACUCAGUCUCCUAUUUAGGUUUUCCUUCUUGGACUUUUCUUACUUUUGGUAAAAAGUUCUUUGGAUUGUGCCCAUAUAUGAGGGCCUUCAUGUGUGGUCCAUGUAUUCUGCGAUGUAAGUUGCAUGGUCUAGAUUUGCCAGUGUCAAAAUUUCAGAGCCAAUUUCAAUCAUAUGGCCUCUCAUUUAUUGGCGUUUGUCCUUGUAUUUUUCACUGCACAUUCGUUCCCAACGAUUUCUUAGAAUUCAUUUUCUUGGUGAAUCCUAAGAUUUAUUUUGCCAUAUGGGAAACUUAAUUUGGGCUGAGUUUGACAUGCAAGAAGGGGGCCUCUAGGCACUACCUAUACACAAAAUUUGGGCCUCCUCUGAUCUUUCACUUGGAGGAUCAGGGCCAUAAAGGAAUACCUGAAAGAACAGUCCAGAAAACCAUUUCUUUGCUAAAUGGGCUAGAGCAUUAGAGCCUUCAUUCUCUGUACUUUUCCACGCCAUCUAUAGAUAUUGCAAGGUUUAGAACAAGAUAGGUUAUCUACUUGUCCUUGUAAUAUGUCCAUCUGUACUGUUGUGUACCUGAAAUACAAAUGAAAAGAAUAAUGGAAAGAAAAAAGGAAUUAGUAUGAUUUAUCCAUCACUUGGUAAAUGGGGAACUUGCUUCACUCUUAUUGGUUCUUUUAAAAAACAAUAGAUUACGUAAUUUCUCAUCCAUGAAUCAAAGUUGGUGACAAGCUUGUUAAUUGUUACUGAAAACUUCAAUCUGAUGGAAAGCUAGAACAUUGAAGUAUUUCACUACGGGUAGUGCUUCGUUAGUCCAAUCUGGUCAUGUGAUGGACCAAAAUGAUCCACUUAUUUGUGUCUAUGUUGAGUUGCAGAUGUUUGCCCUGAGAAGCCAAUCUGGACAAUUCAAUUGGUUUGUCACUAUGUGAAUGGUCCAAUUGUCUAAAAUCUGUUCUGAAGUAGAACUUUUCUCUAGAAAUGGUGUGUACUGAUCAUUGAAGUGAGCAGACAACAUAGUUCGAAAAUUUGGGUUUCAGUCUUCUUUUAGCCUGACCGAAACUUUGCUGAAACAGUGCAUUUUUUUGCUGUUGAGUUUCAGUUGGUCAUUUCAGGUGAGUGAGUGGGUGGGUGGGGGAUUGGAAAUGACCAUAUUAACCUUCAUAUAGCAAGAAAAGUCACGCAAAGUUGUAGUUUGGAUUUGCACCCUUGGUUGGCAAUAUACGCCGCCUUAUUGUAUACCUUGUGUAAUAUUGCAUGUGUUAAAGGCAAGUAAAACAAGUAAAUAAUUAUGCACCAUGAACGAAGAAACAUAAUAAUGAUUAAUUAUAAAAUAGUGCAAAGUACAUACACUCAUAGAGUCAGAGAGACCUAAUUCCCAACUCCCAAGUCCCAACAAUUCAAUACUAUGUGUUCAUACAUGAGUACAAAAUAACUAGGUAGCUACUUGUUAUUUUUCCCCUACCCUUUAUAUUUUCCUCUUAAUUAAAAUAAAUUUUCAUAACAAUUUUGGCCUAAUACAACAAAAGAAAAUGUUGUACAACAUAAUGAGCCUCAUGUGUGCUUCAAAAAAAAUGCUAAAAUGACUUUCAUAUCUCUCUCUCUCUCUCUCUCUCUCUCUAACUAAAAAGAAUGAUUUUCCUUAUUUUUACCUUUUUGAAUUAAUUUUUUUUUUCUUUUACCAGUAGAAGAAACAAUCCAACUCCGCGUGGCUGUAGAUUGGCCAACAAUGUCUAACAUAUAUAUAAAAUUGAGUCCCAUCGAGUUGAUAUUAAACUAAUUUUUUCAUUUUUUUUAUUAGAGGAAAAUCCAUUUUGAAAAAAAAAAAUAAUGUAUCUAUAAAUAAAUAAAUAAAUAUAUAUAUAUAUAUAUAUAUCGAAAAUAAAAACCAACAUAGUGAGGUUAUGGAUCAAGCUCCUUUGUUGAAUGGCGCAGAAGUCUAUUUCAAUUUGACCUGACAAAUGCUCUCUCUCUCUUAUUUUGGGUGCGGUGGGGGGUUGUCUAAAUUAUUUCGGUGACUGUGUGAAUGUAUGCCUCGAUUUCUAUUCAUCUAAUUACCUGCACUACUUGCUGACUUGACUGUGAUUUUGCAGGUUGGAGUGGGACUAGGUGUAAAAGCGGAGAGUGAGUAGAGAAUGUAUUCUUUUCUCCUGCGGGGGAGUUUGUUAGCGUGUACAUGGAAUUAUGGUUGUUGCUAUUUUUUUUUUUUUCUUUCAUCUUCCUAGGGAAGGACAUUCAGACUGCUGCUUCGUCUUUGGUUGCAUCUUCCCUUUGCUGUUGUAAUCAAUCAAGUUUAGACUUGAUGCUUGGAGUCUUAGUCCUGUAAUAUAUUGUCUCAGUAUAGGGCUUUUUUUAGUCAACUAGUGGAUUGUCUUCAUUAUCCUCCAAGGUCUAUAAGGUACAAUCUUGGUCCUUGGACUUCAGAAGUAGGCUGAUGUGCUGAUCUUAAAAUGUGUUUUAUGGCAAGUGUUUUUGAACUAGGCUUGAGGGCUUCAUGGGAUCAUAAUCUAUGUGCUGUGAUUGGUAAUUGAGAUUUUCUUUCGACGGGGUGUCUAUUGUCGUCAUUUUUCAACAGUUCCAGGUGGUAGUUGGCACCAGAGUUUUCCGGAUCCAUUGGAAAUGUUCACUUCUUGUCAUGUGAUAUGUUGGGCCUAAAUGGGAAGAAAUUGAAGUUUGAUGAAAAGCUUAAGAUGUGAACAAAUUUGUCAUUUGAAAAAGCGAAAGGUUACUUACGGUUCACACAGCUCACAUAAGAAGGCUUUUUCCUCUGUGAUUUACUUUUCUUUUUAUGUGAUGAUAUGGUGAGUAGUUAGUGGUUCCAUGUGGAUGGAUGAUGUAAUAAUUUUGACCAUUGAAUAGAUAGGGAAUGUUAUUGAUUGAUUUGUGUGAUUUUUGCAGUCAAAUUUAAUGAUGUAUCCCAUCAA